GUACUGAUGAAGAGUCCCAAACUAGGACGAAACGGCUGUACAGUAC
rnacentral:hammerhead_ribozyme from 1 species